AUGUGAAACGGUGUUGACAUUUCUUUUCAGUAAAGUUUCGCAAUUCAUCUUGAUCGUUUAAAGCCAGGACAACGCUUCUAAAUGGUGGAAAUUUACUUUGAAAAAAUAUCUCGAUUCAAAACCAUUAAUAAGAAUGCUUAGAAAAAGUCAAAAACAUGAUUGAACUUGUGAUACACCGUUAAAUUAGGAAUUAAAAGGCAUUUUUAAUAUUUGAUAUAGAAAAACCAGGUCCGUAUUUGAAAAAAAAAGUUAUAUAGUGGACCAAAGACGAAAUGUCGGACCUAAAGUUUAAUAACGGCAUCUUAAACAGGGAAAACAGUGGCUAUGAGAAAGUGUCAACUCGGAAUUUGUUAGAUUUGAAAGCGGCAUGUUAUUGAGGACCCAAAGCUGCUAAAUUUUUCCCAUUUAACCAACUUUUUAUCUGCCCUCCUUAUCUUAGGCACUUUGUAUAAAUAAACGGAAUAAACCAGCGUAUUUAGGA